rnacentral:rRNA from 1 species
AGUGAACGCUGGCGGUAGGCCUAACACAUGCAAGUCGAACGGCAGCACAGUAAGAGCUUGCUCUUACGGGUGGCGAGUGGCGGACGGGUGAGGAAUACAUCGGAAUCUACUUUUUCGUGGGGGAUAACGUAGGGAAACUUACGCUAAUACCGCAUACGACCUACGGGUGAAAGCAGGGGAUCUUCGGACCUUGCGCGAUUGAAUGAGCCGAUGUCGGAUUAGCUAGUUGGCGGGGUAAAGGCCCACCAAGGCGACGAUCCGUAGCUGGUCUGAGAGGGUGAUCAGCCACACUGGAACUGAGACACGGUCCAGACUCCUACGGGAGGCAGCAGUGGGGAAUAUUGGACAAUGGGCGCAAGCCUGAUCCAGCCAUACCGCGUGGGUGGAGAAGGCCUUCGGGUUGUAAAGCCCUUUUGUUGGGAAAGAAAAGCAGCAGGUUAAUACCCCGCUGUUCUGACGGUAACCAAAGGAUAAGCACCGGCUAACUUCGUG